rnacentral:rRNA from 1 species
UUUCCGGUUGAUCCCGCCGGACCUGACUGCUAUCGGAUUGAUACUAAGCCAUGCGAGUCUUUGCAGUAAUACAAGGCAUACGGCUCAGUAACUCGUAGUCAACUUACCCUAUGGACAAGAAUAAUCUCGGGAAACUGGGCGUAAUUCUUGAUAGAUCAUAAUACCUGGAAUGGUUUAUGGUUAAAAUGAUUCGUCGCCAUAGGAUGGGACUGCGGCCUAUCAGCUUGUUGGUGAGGUAAUGGCCCACCAAGGCGAUUACAGGUACGGGCUCUGAGAGGAGAAGCCCGGAGAUGGGUACUGAGACACGGACCCAGGCCCUAUGGGGCGCAGCAGGCGAGAAAACUUUGCAAUGUGCGAAAGCACGACAAGGUUAAUCCGAGUGAUUUCUGCUAAAGAAAUCUUUUGCCAGUCAUAAAACCACUGGUGAAUAAGGGGUGGGCAAGUUCUGGUGUCAGCCGCCGCGGUAAAACCAGCACCUCAAGUGGUCAGGAUGAUUAUUGGGCCUAAAGCAUCCGUAGCCGGCUUUGUUAGUUUUCGGUUAAAUCCAUGUGCUCAACGCAUGGGCUGCCGAAAAUACUGCAUAGCUAGGGAGUGGGAGAGGUGGACGGUACUCAGUAGGAAGGGGUAAAAUCCUUUGAUCUAUUGAUGACCACCUGUGGCGAAGGCGGUCUACCAGAACACGUUCGACGGUGAGGGAUGAAAGCUGGGGGAGCAAACCGGAUUAGAUACCCGGGUAGUCCCAGCUGUAAACGAUGCAGACUCGAUGAUGCAUUGGCAUAUAUAGCCAGUGCAGUGUCGCAGGGAAGCCGUUAAGUCUGCCGCCUGGGAAGUACGUACGCAAGUAUGAAACUUAAAGGAAUUGGCGGGGGAGCACCACAAGGGGUGAAGCCUGCGGUUCAAUUGGAGUCAACGCCGGG